AGACCCACUACAACUGAGACCCACUACAACCAGGUAAUAAAGCUAUGAUCUGACUGUGAGACCCACUACAACCAGGUAAUAAAGCUAUGAUCUGACUGUGAGACCCACUACAACCAGGUAAUAAAGCUAUGAUCUGACUGUGAGACCCACUACAACCAGGUAAUAAAGCUAUAAUCUGACUGUGAGACCCACUACAACCAGGUAAUAAAGAUAUGAUCUGACUGAGACCCACUACAACCAGGUAAUAAAGCUAUGAUCUGACUGUGAGACCCACUAUAACCAGGUAAUAAAGCUAUGAUCUGACUGUGAGACUCACUACAACCAGGUAAUGAAGCUAUGAUCUGACUGUGAGACCCACUACAACCAGGUAAUAAAGCUAUAAUCUGACUGAGACCCACUACAACUAGGUAAUAAAGCUAUGAUCUGACUGAGACCCACUACAACCAGGUAAUAAAGCUAUAAUCUGACUGAGACCCACUACAACUAAGU